GACAGAGGCCUCAAGCGUUAGGCGGAAUCACUGGGCUUAAAGCGUGUGUAGGCGGAUCGUUAAGUGUCUUGUGAAAUCCCACGGCUCACCCGUGGAACUGCUGGGCAUACUGGCGAUCUUGGGCCAACUAGGGGCAACUGGAACAAGCGGUGGAGCGGUGAAAUGCGUAGAUAUCGCUUGGAACGCCAACGGUGAAAACAGGUUGCUGGGGUUGUGCCGACGCUGAG
rnacentral:rRNA from 1 species